rnacentral:lncRNA from 1 species
AUGUCAGAAAAUACCACCGGGAAGGAAACUUUUGUGUCAAGUCCAAUCCGAGCCUCCCCAUGGAUCAGGGAUGCUGAAUGUGGAGGAGAACAGAGGGAUGGGAAGGAGCGCCCGCCCUCCAUCAGAAUUCAGAUGCUUUCCCAGGUGCUUGGCAGAGACACCACAAGACCCCAGCAGGUGGGAAUGGCUUACUCCUCCCGCUACAACCCUCCUUCCCGCCCCUGCUCCUCAGUCUGUGGACUGUCAUCCUUAGAUGAGCCCAGUCCCCUCUGGCCUGUGGCCUUUCCAUACCCAGAACAGAAUGGAGUGGGUGGCAAGGAAAGACACAACUCGGGGAGGGAAGGUGGCUGGCUGCAUCCGAGGCCACAGACGGAGGCUGACAAGAUCUUUGCCUUAGAAUGCUGCAAUUCGGAGGAACCUUGGACAGUAGCCUCAUCGACCCCAUCACCCACUGGAGAGGACCCCACACCCCAGCGAGGACAGCCAGACCAGACUCGGGGUUCGCAGUGGUCUCAGCAUUUCUUUGAGCCAAGGAGGCCACCAGAAGUCAUACAGCAGAAAACAAGCAGGUCUAAAUAAAUAAGGUGGUGGUGACAUUUUCCGUAGUUUGUCUCCUGGAACCAUCUAGAGAAUCUGAGAAACAACUCUUCAGACUGUUGCUACCACCUUCAGGUCUGGGCUGAUCAAACACGGGUUGGUUAUAAUCAACCCCUUCCUCUCGCCGCUCCCUGAUCAUGAUGGAUUGAUCUGAUUUCAGGAAAGGGGCUGUGCUGGGGGUAGGGUUGUUGAUGUCCAUCCAGCUUGCACCUGGUAGUGACCCACAAAUCCCAUAAAGAAUCAUGGGCAGGACCCAGAACCUCAGCCAGCAGGAAGUGGACGCUCUUCUGGAUGAUUUGAAAGACCUGCUACUGGUCUCCAGUGCACAUGAAUGGAAGUCUGGGGAGAAGCCUGGCACCCAGGAAGGUCCAACUGCCAACCCAGGGGAAGCAAAGUCCCCAGGUACUGGCCAUUUGGGCGAGCUGCACGCUGAUAUCCAAGGUAAGUGCACUGCUCCGUGUUGUUAAAACCUCAGGAACGUAGGUGAGAGAUGCGGACAUUUGGCAAAUGCUGUGUUAUAGAUGCUGUGUGAGGAGAGGAGUACGAUGGGGACUCUGACCCCAAGGAGCUUGGAGCCCAGAGACACAGACACAGGCAGGGAGAGCAGAGGCCCGGAUGCAGCAGUACACUGUGCAGAAGAGACACCAUGGAGGGAGAAGUCAGCCACACUCCAGGUCGGGAAGGUUUCUCAAGUGGCGACAAUUCUAUGGGUCUUGAGGGUGAUCUGAGAUUUGCCCCUGGACAAAGUAGAAAGCACAUUCCAAGAAGCCACAGCGUAAGAAACGUGACAGGCACCAUAGGGCACUUCGGAUAGUUCGGCUCUGCUGAAGGUAGAAUCCUACCAAAGAGGAUCACAUAGAUGCAGAUGGGAGGAGGUGGGGAGUAGGCCAGAGAGGCUGCCUGGCCUGGCUAACAGUGGGAUCUUAUUACAUAAGACCGCGUGGGAUUCCUUUCACAGCACACGGCGCACAAAACAAUAGAACCAACAUCAGCAGGACAGCGGGUACCACAAGCAAUGUUUCCAUCACUGAUUGUGAUGGAGCCGAAAGCAAAUUUCCUGUUCCCUCUCAAAGUCAUAGUGUCACAUCCCUCUCGUAUGUAGAGAUGCUAGUGCAAAGUUCUACAGAGAAUCAAGCAAUACAAUUAUAUAUACCACUUACAAAAUAGUAAGAAACGACCAUUACUGGUUUAUGCCUUUACCACAUUCUACUUAGUUAAUCUACAAUGUGCUCCUUGCACUUACUUAAAAAAAAAAAAAAAAAAAAAAAAAAAAAAAAAAA